CGGGGCCCCCGCUCCGCUCCGCUCCGCGCCCCCCGCCCGGCCCCCGGCGGGGACAGCCCUGCCCGCCCCCGGCGGGACGAGGCGGGAGGGAAGUGAGGGAACCCGGCCGCCCGCUGGGCUCCCCCGGCCCCAAAAUGGUGGGAGCCGCUUCGCCCCGCCCCCGAGCGCGGUGUUUGUUUGUGUUCCGGCCAUGGCGGAGCCAGCGGCCGCUCGGGCCCGGCGGGACGGGACAGGACGGGAAAACACAGGACAAGGCGGAGCGGGGCGGCUCCUCCGUGGCGGCCGCGGGGACCUCCCGCACCACCCGGCCCGCCCCGGCUGGGGGUGGGCUGUGCGAGGCCGAGGGACCUUCCCAAGGGUUCCCCCGCGAGUGGGUUCUCGGGCAGGGAAUCCCUGUGCUGAUCGCUGGCGUGACCCCAGUGGGCACAGGCCAGUGUAGGGACAGGGCACUGAGCCCCAGUGUGGAGCAAAACCAGCGGCUGUCACUUGUCUCGCUUUUACGUUUCUAGAGGCUUUUUACGUGAUUAGCAGAUACUAAUAUAAACCAUGUAUUUAGCUCCUUUUCUUUCUGAAAAAAUGUAUUCACACUUGCAUAUAAAUAUAGGUAAGUACAGAUAAAUGCACGUUUCAGGAAAGCGAAUGCCCCUAUGUCACUGUUGGUGUGCCAGCCCUGACCCACACAGAGGGGAAUGGCACUGCCUUACAGGAUGAUCCUAUAAAUGUUCUUUCCAGCUUUAUCAUCUGUGAUGGUUCUUCAAAAUCCUUCUUUGGCUUCCAGAUCCAUGCCAUGGGAAAUAUUUUAAAAUCCGUUUUUUAAACUGAAGUAUUUUUUAAAGUGAAGCAAAUUUGGUACAGACCAGCUGGAAGGUUCUGUCUGUAAAGCUGUACCGUGUGGCUGCUUCUUAUCAGCAAGUUCUCUGCUGAUACAGGUCAGCCCUGCUUUGCACCAGACCUCCUGUCUGGGUCAGAGUAUCUACUCACAGUGAUGAGUUUGGCUCCACAAUCUUUGCUGGUGGACGUCAGUCUGGGAACAGACUUUUUGCUGAUUACCCAUAUAAGUUCUUUCUUGGAGAUUUCAUUUUCUUGCUGCUUAGGGAGUUUUGUUUUGCUGCUUAUCAACGGAUUAGCUAAACAACCACAGUGCAAAAUCUGUCAUUGCUGCCAUUUAUGGUGUUCCAACACAGUUUCAGGCUUUUCUAGGAAACUGAAACUGAAAAUGGUGCAGGAAUUGUGAGUGUUGCUCAAGAUAAAGAGGCUUUGCAAUGGCGCGUUGCUGUAAAUAAUGACUGUUUUACAUUACUUGCUCAUUUGCGUGUUUAUCCUAUGAGUCUGCUGGCUUGGUUUAACAGAAUUGGGCAAGCAGUUGUUGGAGAGGAUUCAGCCUCACCCAGUCCUGGUUUCAAGGUUAAGGCAAUGUCAGAAGUGUUUGCUGUGAGAACCUGGUGGUGAAAAUCCAGUGCUAUUUUCAGUUGUAUUUUCAGUUGGUAUUUUCAGUUGUGCAGUGGCAACAUUGGGAAUGAGAUUAUGGGCCACUAGAAAGACUUCUUUAUUUCAGAUGACAUUUCAUAUUUUGUUCUCUCUGUGAGGCUUUGGCCUGUGUCAUUGGUGUAGCUCAGUGUAGACCACAGGCAUGUGCCCCACUGUGGCUUGGAGUCCUGAUCUGAGGAGGUCCUGUGGGAGCAUAUGGUGCCUCCCUGCUGGCUGACAUGCCGAGAUUUCCUUUCUUUGGAAACCAGAGUGCAAACAUAGGUCCCUGGUCUCAUCCAAAUACACAGUCAGGACAUAGAUGGGAUAUGCUCUGGGUCCCAUGGUAUAGACGUUGCAUUUAUUUACCUUGAGGCAGAUCUCCAAAAGGAAUAACUGCUAAACCCAGUUAAAACUUUCCCAUUGGUAGGUACAGGCUGUUCACUCGAAAUCUGGGCACGUUUAAAAAAUGCAGACUUGUUAAAUGCCAGAAGAGAUCUUCUUUUCAUGGCGGAUUCACAGAGACCAAGGAGGAAGCAGCAGUUCACAUUUGUCUUUGCAAUACAACAGACUGCACCUGUGAGAGCUCUGAAUGAGAAAGAGCUACUACCAGUCAUGCCUGGAUUCUUGGAAGCAGGGAUGGUUGAAGCCACUGGUUUUCUAGGCCGUUCACUCCUGUUAUGUCAGGUAGGUUGUUAAUAAUGGCUUUGCAUCACCAGCUCAAAAGUUGUACAGCUAUCCAGAAAAUGGAAAAUGGAAACAUUCUUGCAUUCAAAAAUGUUGUUUUUAAAUAUCCCUGCGUAUGCUAUGGUGUGGCUGUGAGCCUACUCCUUUUGAUACCCUCUUUUGCAGGCUGGGGACAAGAAAGCAGCUGAAGAGCUUGUCAAGGUAGAGUUCAGUUGUCCUUAUUGCUCAAUAAGCUGUUGAUGGGAGUCUUUUGUCCAGAGAACACAUGAGAUGUUUUCACCAUUCCUGAGUUGAAGGAGAUUGAACAGACCUGGCAGACUUCACUGUACCUGCUCUUUGUAGAUAAUAUUGGUAAGCACAGAGGCUGUUUAGAAGGAUCUGCUUUUGUGGAAACAGAUACAGAUCCUUGCAUGUGCAGAACAGUAGAGGUGACUGUGGACCAAACAGAGUAUAGGCCAAACCAAAACAGAUCCUGGUUUAUGAGCUGUCCACGCUGCAGGAGGUCCUUGUUCCAUACAGAUUUGGAAGCUCACAAGUAGUCUUUAUGGUUGUUUUUUAUCAGAGGAUGUGAUUUAUGAGCACAGUUUCCUUGUUCUGGCGGAACCAUGGGACAGUUUAACUGAUUGCUUCAGUUCUCUCUGGUUUUUACUUCCUCUCCUUAGUUUGGGGAACAAGUAGUUAUCAGACUGGGGUUUCUAGAGCCAUAAUAUGAUCCUAUAAAGAAGGAAAGAUUCAUGUAGUGGUGAAGGGCUGCAUAGAUACUACACGUAGAAAAGAUGAAGGCAAAUACAAAAAUUUGUGUCAAACUAAUAUCAACCUGGCAACCUAAGUCAAUGAAACUUUUUCUCACCUGUAAACAUUUAAACAGUUGGCUGUAAUCUGUUGUCAGAAUAGAAAUGGGGAUAGUCUGAAAUUUGCCAGGGUACAGAGUUCAUGUUCUGGCACAUCUCGAUAUGACCAUGUCACGCAUAGGUCAGUUGUAACCACUUUUUGGCAGCCAGCGUCUUCUAAGUGAAAUCUAUUUUUCAAAACAAAAUGGAAAUUCAAGAAAAAUGUUUUUAAAGUAUGCAGGCAAAGUUUGUUUUAUUUUGUAGGUUUUUGAUAUGAGGAGAGACAAGUUAUAUAACGCUGUAUUCCUAAGGCUUGUAUGAGCUAGCCAGAGAUGAGGAACUAUCUUACUAAGAAAUCCCUUUCGAGUUAAAAAUCUAAAAUCCACUGAGAACGUAAAACCCCAAUAGUUUCUCUGCAAAACUGACAUCAUAAAUUGCCUAAUUUAUAGAUAAAAGACCAUUUAAUGACAUCAUUUUACAUGAUCCAUGGUCAUGUUAUUGUUGGACAACAUUUUGGAUAUAUUUAAUGUGUCAUGCUCAGUAAAAGUUUUUGAAAGACCUUUUCUGUCUUCAGCAUGGAAAAGUUUUUUCACUUCUUUUCCAUCAAGCUUAUUUUCCUGGCACUUAUAGUCUCUUAUUAUGUCUUAUCUUUCUUCUGGAUAAGAUUGUUUUCCCAAUUCAUAUACAGAAGCCCAGUUAACUUCUGAGUGAUCUCUCCAUGCCAUAGUACCCAGAGGUUCAGAGAUAGCUCUGUUUGCUCAGGUAAUGUUAGUGGGACACAGUACUAUUUUAAAACCUUUUUCUGGAAAAAAAAAGACCUUGUAUACCUCUGAAGAAUGGAAUUAAAUCACAUUCUUUUAUUAUAUAUGUGAAUCAGGUUAUGGGAAUGAUGGAAUUAAUUUAUCUUAUUAUAAAGAACAUAGCAUCUUCUAAAAUACACAUGAUUGUUUUUAGUUUUGUUCAUUUUAGCUGAACCAUAGAGCCAUUUCUCAGUAUAUAUUACAACUGUAUAUUGUUUUCUGCGGGAGAAUGAUUGCAGCUCUAGAAAGCAAUUAUGGAACUAAUAUAUUUCCCUGAAAUGCAUGUUGUGAUGCAGGAUUUUGCUCAUGUUUCUGAAAAUUACUUAAACUUCUGCUUAAAUUAUCCUGGUAUCACAAGUACCACUUAAAUUAAUUUAUCCUGAAGAUACUAUAUUGGUAAGGAUAAGUUUUCCAUUAUUGGCAAAAAUAACUUGCCUUCCAUAGUAACUCUUUUGCCCAGAUCCAGCAUGUUUUUUUUCAGCAAGGAGUAUAAUGCCUAGCUAUUGUGUGCACUGGGGCACCUACACUGUAUGUCACAAAGAAGAAAAAGGACAUGUAUUUUGGCACUAAAAAAACCCAAACAACAAAGCAAACAGUUAUCAUAAAAAAGUAACCUCUUCAAACAAAUCCUGUGUCACUCAGCUUCCUGGUGAAUUCUGUGUAGGAGUUCAUUUUCCUUUUUCUCUGUGUACCGUGUGUUACCACAGUCUCAACUUCAAGAAUGAUCAGAGACCUAUAAAACAUGAUCUAAGAGGAAAGGCUGAAAGAAUUGGGGUUGUUUAGUUUAAAGAAAAUGAAAGUAUUGGGAAAAACAGUAAUGAUCUUCCAAAAUGUAAAAUGUUUCUCUGCAGAGAGAAGGAAAAAGUAUUUCUUUAUGUUCAGUGAGUCUAGGGCAAGAGGUGAUGGAACUGGAGUAGGAAAUUUAAGGUAGACAUUAGGAAAUUAUUUCAAACUGCAAAAGUAGUUUGGCACUGAAAAUGAUUAUCUGGGAAUCUCAUUUACUGAAGGCUUUGAAAGGCUGAUUAGGUCACAUGUUUCAGGAAUGGUUUUAGUUGCAGUAGAUUAUGUGGAGAUAACCCCAAAAGGUUCCUGGCUGGUUUACAGUGUUUUGUUUCUCUCAGGUGAUUUACAACAGAUGCUUUAUUGCUGUGUUGUUUUGAUUCUCACUCUUUCUUAUGCCCUUAGAAAAUGCCAGUAAGAAAAAAUUAGGUAAAAAAUCGGGAAAAUGGAAUGGAUGGUGACAUUUCCAAUAGCAGAAUACUAAGAAAUCACAAGCUCUGCAGGAUAACUGUUGUGUUUGAGCCGGUGUGUGACUUGCUGACAUGUCCUCCUGACAGGCUUUGGGACUGGCAUUCAGCAAGUAGUGGAUAGUCAAUACACAGAAAUCUGUGGCUUAACUAAUCUUUUAAAUUUUAAUUUAUUUUUAAAUUUUAUUUGAAGUGUUGGUCUGUCUUCACUUUUUGCUGUGUGUAAGUACUUCCUGAACCUGCAAGGAGCAAGCUCUAGCCAGAGUUCACCAGUGGCCAGUUUGUUAGUCAUCAGGUACUGCCACUGCAGCUUCAGGGAUAUUCUGCCCAAGGUGUGGUAAAAGAUAGAUAUUUGAAGUAGCAGGUCUAAAAGCCAGAAUUACCUCAACUGCUGAGAGGUAUGAAGUUGAACAUGAUACCGUUUCAUCCGAAUUUGACAUUUGUCUUUGAGAAUGUUUAUUCCUCACAAGGCCUUCAGGUUGCUGCAACAGUAAGGUAGUACCCAAAAUUCUUGUAUCUCUUUGAAGCAGAAUUGGAGAAUUUAUCCCUUGUCCAAGUUGAAUAUAUAUUCUGCUGCACAACUUAAAACACCUCUUGUUCACCUUCUCCUAAGUCUUCCUGUUUCUCUGAUUUUCACCAUUUUUCCUGUAGCCUAAAAUCUGUUUUCUAUCUGUAAGUAGCUGCUAUAGAUCUUCUGCAAUAACAGAGUGAUCAAAUGAGGCAUGGAAGGAUUCAUGAGAACCUAUGGAGUGUGACCCUCUGGCAGACAACUCUGUCCAGCCCAAGAUCAUCUACAUCUUCAUCAUUCCUUGACAGAAAACCGUUGAAACUGUUUGGAUACUGAAUGAUGGCUACAGCCCAGUCCCUUCCUCUGGAGCUGUGGUGGUGCCACAUUGCAUCGGUCACCAGCAUAGGAUCCACUUCCCCAGGGAUGGAUCCCUGUCCUUGAACCUUAACAGAUCAAUGAGGUAAGGAGAAGGAAAGGCCUCUGCCAUCAUCAAAGACAACUCCAGACUCUUCCGAGUCUUGUCCAAAAGCUUCAGUAAUUUACAGUUCCUUAUGGUAAGACACUUUUUCUGGUAUUAACGUCAUGGGCAUUUUAAAGUGUUAUCAGACAGUAAUUACUAUCACAACUUUUAAUUCUGUGUUUCUGUUUCAAAUUUUCCUCAGUUCUAUCAGAACCAAAAGUUAAUGCCCGUUGGCUAAUUUCCAGUGCAUGCUUCCACAGAACAACUGCUGCCUUUAACUGGUGGAGAGAUCAAGGCUUGAACUGACAAAAGACAUCUGUAUUUUGGAAAACAAAUUAAUGUUUAUGUUUUAAUUUAUAAGUUCCUGGCUCUUUUAUGGUUCCUGUUUUUCAAGUAACGUCUCUUUGGAUCCCUAGCUGAUGGAGAGUCAAAAUGGAAAAGGCCCAUGAGAGAAUUAUCACAAUAGAACAUCUGGUCUGCAUUGGAAAAAGCUGAGAAAGAUAUUCAACAUCUCUGAGACCAAGAGGCAGCUAUGAGGCAGUUUGGAAAGUCAGUCUAUGAAAAAUCGUGCAGGUUGUGGCCACCUGGGCCAAUCUAGUGUUGUUUUGGGAAGAGCUACUCUGCUUCCUUGCAUCUGAAUUUUAAUGUCACUUCAGCACGGAUAUGUGAGAACUGGGAGUGGUAUGAAAGGUGUUUGCUUUUCAUAAUGUUAAUCUGAGUCCCAGCAUUGUCCUAAUUAUAUUGUGGGUUUUUGCCAGUCUCCUAAGUUUUCUUUUGAGCAUGUAGGCUGGAGUCAAAAGGCUUUCCCAGGGUUUUGGCAUAGCUUUAUAGGAAAAUGGAUGGAAAUUACUUUGUAUAUUUUUGGAAGAAUAUUUUGCAUCCUGCUUUAAACUGUUCCAGAAGGUGAAAGGACGUUAGCUAGACUGUGUAUUGGCUCGUGUACUGGUAUGUCACUAAUGGCAAGGAGUUUUGCUUCACCUAAUUGUUCCUGUUUUCUGCAGCCACAGACUAUGAGAAAUGCAAAGAAAUAAUGAGCCAACCAGGGCAAUAAAGGCACUACUGGAUUCAGAGGGAACAAACUCCUUCCACCACAUGAAACUUUCGUCUUUUAAGUCAUCAUAGCUCAUGCAGAACAGAAACAAUUUGACAUGUAUAACAAGAAACACUGCAAUUGUUUGCCAAACAAAGACUUAUACUGCAGAUGGAAGAACUGAUGAAAAUUGUUUAUAGAUGGGGAACUAAAUGCUGCCUGAGGACCCACUGGAAAAUCUAUGGACUUUUCUCCACAGAAAAUUUGUGUAUCGUCAAUACGUAAGUGGAUUGUCCACAGUUACACUGUGGCAGCUGCAGAGGAAGUGGAAGGUUCUCAGGAAUACAUUAGGGAGAACUGGAUUUUUGGCUUCUGAUAUAGUGUGGAGCGCCUUUGGAAACUGUGGAAGUUUAUGAGCUGGAUGUUACUGCUACAAAAGGUUAUCUAUGAGUUAAACAUAAUAGUAAUUAAUCUGCUAUCUUUAGAUCCUGACACUAACAACAUGAUGAAAUUGAGAAUUCCUAUUCUGUAGAAUUGCAGUUUUCCAGGAUGCCUUCAUUCCUACGAAGAUGCCCUGAUCUGCACUUAGUUUUCAGUGUUACCUUUAGCAAUCUGUGCACAGAUGUUUUUACAAGGCACUAUGUAGUCAUCCCAAACAACUGGUUUUAAUGGGCCAGUUAUUUAGGAAAAGCAUGUAAUGAGAACAUAAAUAAAAUCCCUGAUACUAACAUAAAAGCAUGUAUUAGCAGAAUAAUAUAGUUUGUAUUGCCCUGAUAGAUAGCAGACCCUGGAAAUAUAAAACUUGUCAUGUCUUUAAAAUUCUGUUAUAUCUGUAAACAUAUAUGUCUUGGAAAAGAGGGCCCACAGCAUCCGGGACUGCUUUAGGAAAAGUACUGCCAGGAGAUCAAAGGAGGUGAUUAUUCUCCUUUACUCAGCACUGGUGAGACCUCAGUGGAAGUGCUGUGCCCAGCUCUGGGCUCCCCACAAGAGGAAGGACAUGGACAUACUGGAGUGAGGGCAGGAAAGGGCCAUGAAGAUGAUUAAGAGGAGCACCUGUCAUGUGGCUGCCUUAAGGGGUUUUGAAGUUGAUGUCCUUGAAGAUACUCAAAACUCAACUGGGCGAGCUCCUGAGCAGCCUGCUCUGGGUGAUUCUGCUUUGUGUUGGACUGGUUUGGACUGGAUGAUCUCCAGAGGUGCUUCCAGACUGUGAAUAUUUGAAGCAGUUUGGUUAUGUCUUGUCAGCAUUUUAGCUGGAACUCAAUUAUUUAGGAAUCCUAAAGAGAGCAAAGGCUGUGACCCUAGAAAUCCAUCCAGAUGGCUGAGGCCCAGAAAAGGCAUAAUGAGAGCUGCUAAGUAUUUUGAAUGCCUCAUCAGAGUGAUAUUUCACUUAAAAAUACAAAUAUAGACAUGACUUGGGUCUUAAUGACACUGAAUACCCAUAAUGUUCUCUCACUUCAGCUGGACUGCAGAUGGUAACAACCUCUCUCUAUCUGAGCACACAUAUUUUAGUUUCAUCUUGCUCUGUAAAAUCUUAUCACAUACUUUACUCUAGAAAUUAAUAUUUGGAGCUUUAUGGUGCAGAAUUUAUUUGUUGAUUUGUUCCACAAUUUCUUUCCUUACUAGUACUGAUAUUAAUAAAUUAAAAUGUAUUUUGACAUAUUCAGUAAUAAGCUCAUACUAUGUCUCAAGGAGUUGAGAAUAUCAUAAUUUGAGCAAGGUAAAAUCAAAAUAUGUAUUGCAUUGCAUAUUCUAUGGCACUUAGUUUGUAACUAUUCUUACAGCACCUUCAGAAUAAGAACAAAGAUUAAAUUCAAAAAAGACUUUCAUAGUUUUAAAACAACAAGAUUUAUGUGGAAAGGCAAAGAUAAUGUAAGAAGAUUCACCUGUGGUUUUUCAUCAUGAAAAUGCCAGCAAACUAACUUGCAGUUUUGAGAAUUCCCAGAUCCUCCUCGUUUUGAAAACUCUUUGUCUUUCAUGUUUCCUCUAAGAAUAAAAAGGAAAGCACACUGGAAAACAAGAAAAUGAGAAAUGUUGCACAAGGAAUUAGGAGAUAAAUAGAUUGUAAAGCAUUUGAUUUGAUUUUGGGGUUGCACUUCAGCAAGUGAAACAGUAAGUAAAUAACGUGUUUCUUUAUCAAUACAUGGAGUCACAUUGAGACUGACAGACCAAGACAUAAAUGUAUAAAUAGCACCUCUGAUAAUUAUUAGAAGAUGUCAAAUUUUGCUAUGGAUGAGCCCAUCCCAAAACCACAAAAUUAAGACUUCAGACAAAAAUAACACAUGAAGGUCAAAUACACUUAGUCAUAAGUUGCUGUCUUCUGCCACCACUUUUCCCUGACCUAAUGCUUUUACAGCAUAUCUCCUCUGAUUCAGGCUCCUCUAUAGUCUCUGCGUGGGACUGGGGGUUUGGUGGGGACAGUAUUACUUUAAAUUGACACCUCUAGCAGCAGUUCCUACUUGUACUGUUUUCCUUUUAUAAAUGUAUAACCUAUUUCAUCUAUCAAAGCCUGACUUAGCUCCAAGUCACCCAUUUCUCAAGGAAAUUAAAUCUAAUGUCUAAUAAGCAUAGAAGCUUAUGCAACUUUCAUUCCCCGAAAAAAAGUAUUAAAUAACAUAAUAAUAUUACCUUGUCUUUUGAUAGCUAGAGACUUGUGCACUUUGUUUUUCUGUAGACCAGAUGGGUUCUGCAUUUGGGCUUGAGGAGGCCAGGUUUAUCCAUCCCUUUUUGCAGACUUUCUGAAUGUCACCUCAAAAUUCUCCUCUUGUUAAAGGACCCCCUGAAACUUUCAUGUGUAAGGUUUGAUCCCUUUCUCCACUUUUCCCUCUGGUAGGAGCCCCCUCUGUUCCCCCACACAAGGUGGUCUUACCCUGGGGGUUCUGGCUGCUUUUUCACUCAUUCUCUCCCUCACAGGAUUUUCUCCAGCCUGACCAAAUUUCUGCCUGUUCCAUCCCAUUUUCUAUUAAUACCCACCACGGUUCUGUGUCAGUGGGUGCAACAUUUGAAAAUGCAGAAAUCUGCCUCUAAACCAUGUAGAGUAGCAACAUAAUUUCAGGGGUUUGCCUCCUGCAUGUGUCAGUUCAAUAAGUGGGUUUAUAGGGAAUAAUUUUAAACUGUUGCAGCCCUCUGAAACCACUUCUGUAAUACAUAAAGUGACAUAAGGUCACUGAUGCUGGGGAAAUUGGUUUCCUGGUUGAUAUGCUAAUUCAGCAAGAAAUCAGUUCUUGCAGAAACCCAAAGAAAAUUAUUUUAAUAUAGUGCCAUGCUACUCUGUUGACUUUUAGGAAAGAGAUAAUUAAAAUAUUCAAGGGAGUUCCAAGUCUCUGGAGAAAAUACCAUUAUGGAGAUAUAAAGCUAUUUUUGCCUCACAGCUUAUUAGCUUCUUUCCUAAAAGCAAAUCAGUUGAAUGUGAUGGGCACAAAAAUAACAUUUACAUGUGCUCAAAAAAAUAAGAAAUAAGAUACUUUUAUAAACUGAGUUCAAUAUAAGAAUAGACUCGGUUCAGUCUCUUCUGUGUCACUCACCCUGUGUUUACAGUAACUGCUCCUGCAAUUUUCUGGAUGAAAACUUCCAUCCAGAUACAUCUAAGGCCAUUAAUAAGUCUGCACGAUGCAUCUGAUUGCAAUGGGGAAUAGAAUUACAUUGAUGAUGUCUAAGGAGAAAGAGAAUCUCUGCACUCAGUGUGAAUAAGGAGUAGCCAAUGCCUUGUUUUUUCAGAAAUAAAUAAUUAAAUUAAAAUGAAAACAACAGCCAAUCUAUAAGAAUAAUCGCUAAGAGUUUGAAAGCCCUGUAUUUUUUCCUAACAGUGCACUUAUAGUAGGCUAUUACUGAGUACAAAAAGUAAAAUAACUGUAAUAUUUACUGUAUGAAUAUCCCAAGGGAAAAAAAUUUAGUAGCAUAAGCUGUUUCAUCUUUUUAGAUGUACAGCAGAUAGAGUGUUCAUAACAGGAACACCCUGUUACCUCAACUGUGAAAGGUUCUGGGAAUCUAAUGACCAACAGACUGGAAUUUAAAUUUAUUUUUGUUUGGUUUGUAUUGCAGUGAGCAUUUGAAAGACCCACCAGUUUAUCUUUGUCAGAGAUUAUUUUUCUUUUGGCUUAGCUUAGACACCAAUCUCACUGUUGAGUUUACAUUUAUGGAGCAGGACCUGAGGUUUUCUCCAUGUGUUCAGCAUUAUGAUUCUGACUUUGCAGAUCUCGUUGCUUGGGAUAGUUGCAAAAGUCAUGUCUGCUUAUACAGCAACAACAGAACUGGGGUUCAGAUGCUGCUGAUUAGUCAAUUGAGAAGGAACAAAAUCAGUUUUGAAGGCUGCCACUUUUCUUGGCUGAUGUGCAGAAGAGUUGGUAAAAGCUGCAAAGACAACUGAGUACCCUGAUGACAGUAUUUAUUAUACAUUUGAUUUCAUAAGUGGAUUUUUAGAAAUAAUUUAUUUUGUUAUUUUACUCUGCUGUAGCAAAUCGUGUGUGACUGUAGUUGUUUUUCCACAAUGCCUGUUUUAGUUGUUUUCGUUGCCAUUUGUUCUCACUCCGCGUAGUACCGUCCACAAGGUGGUGCCACAGCUAAGAAGUUAGCAAUAAAUAAGACAAAUAUAAUUUGCUAAUUCUACCUGCUUUUUGCAGAAGAAUUUUGGUAGAAUUUUUCUACCAACUAACUAAGGUAUCUGCACCUUUAAAGAAUUAAUAAUUUUUUCAUAAGCAUAGUAUCACAGGUUUGCAAGUUUUUAUUUUAAACCCCUUGUGUGUCUGCCUGCUGAGUGGGAGCAGCACCCACAGACCUGUGUCCAUCCCAGAUCAUGUACAAAAAUGAAAAGACAGCUCAGGGUUAAGCAGACAGACUGAUGAAGAGCUGUGUGUGUUCAGGCAGGGUUAUCCAUGCUGUGCCCCAUGGAUGUGUCCUAUAUAUAUGUAGAUCACUUCAGCAAUACCCCAGGAGUCAGCCCAAAUCCUGACAAGCAGAAUAGUUCAUCUGCAACUUCAGCUUCCAUGCACUUACCCUGGUGUGGCUGUGGCACAUCAAACCCUAAUUUUCCAAGUUUUUCUACAGCAAGGGAUAGCCAAACUCCCUGUCUUAUGAUAAUGUACAGUUGACUUAAUUCCAAAGGGGUAUGAAGUGCUUACAGAGGGCCCUGCUGUGAGAGCAGCUGGGUUAAUGUAUACAGGUAAAUUCAGUAGUAUUUUUCCUUCAGUCAUAGUUAAAAAGGCAGCCAUCCCAAACUGUGUUCAGCACAAGUGAUCGAGCUUAUGAGCACCUUUCAACAUAAGAUUAGACUAGAAAAAGUAAAAGGCGAUAACAGGGAACGUAAGAUGUGAAAUGUACCACCCAAUACAGAAAAGGCAAUAAAACUUACAGGAAAAAUUUGUUUGAAUGGGUCUGAAUGACUGCACUGUUUUAUAGCAGGCCUGUAUGUCCCUGAAGAGCUGAAGUGCAGAAGGCCUUGGUCAUUUCUCCCUGAAUGUGUGUGUUAGUUCUUCAGCUACCCUUGGCCACAAGGCCGUGGUUGCUUCUUGCACACCUGCCCUGCUCCCCUCAGUGACCUCUGCAAUACAGGUAUGCAUGUUAAUACAAGAUAUACCCUCUGUGAGCUUCUCCAAUGGAUAAAUUAAGUUGUUUAUUCAUCACAUUAUUUUGUACCAAAAGCAGGAAGAAAAAGGGAUAAUUUAAAAUACCUUUCAGACGAGCACUGCACCGAUUGUUUCUUCCAGCUAGAAUCUCUCUUUGGUAUGGUAGACCUGUAUCAGAACAAGAAGAAUAGCAGUGUUUGCAUAAUAUGUUUCUGCAUAUUGCUAUAUUAUUAUUUUAAAACAUACUAAAAUUCUGGUGGGUUGUGAGAGACUCAGUAGAAAUUACAUAUACUCAGGAAAGAUGGUUUGUCCCCCAGUUAUAAUGCAGAAUGAGAGUUAGAGUCCAGUUCUUAUUUAGUCCAGUUCUAAAAGUUGUCAAAUAACACAACUGACACUUCUUUUUUUUUUUUUUAAGGAUCAGAUCUAUAAAUUUUAUCUUAAGUUGCUUUACAGUAUUUUAAAACUUUGUAUUGCUUUUAACAUCUGUUUGGAAAAGUCAGAAUUAGAGAACUAACUAAAAAUAUAAAGUCACUGAACAGGUCAACUAGAUUUAAUUUCUGAGUCUAUCCAGUUAGUUUGGACUAACUGAAUCACAACCGAGACACUGUCAGAGUAUUCCUGUAAGAUUGUUCUGAAUGUAUGGCUGCAAUGUGUCUUGCAAUGAAAAUGACAUAUUUCUGGUUUAGUUUGGACUUCAUUUUUAGUUUGACUUUGUAAAAUUGUUUUCAAAAAUGUUUAUUUUUCAGAUAUUUUACACAGAGAAGAAAUUAUGCUCUAUUCUGAAGGGAAUGACAGAGCAUCUGAGAUCAUACAUUUAAGUCUCCACUUUAUGUAAACCCCAGGUAUGCAUUAUUUUAGUAACUUAACAACUGAAUUGAGAUCCAAAACACUUUCCCUUGCAAUAUUUAUAAUGAUUUUUGCGCCCUUUCUGGAAAUCCCGUAAAUAUUUUUAAAAUAUCAAAAACUGGUUUUCCUCUAAAUCUGGUUUUCUGGUUUCCCAUGUAGGCACUCAUGAACAAAACAUGCUUCAGCUCAGUGUCUAUACCUAGAUCUUACUAGAAGGAGGUAACUUCCAGUAUUCUAAGUUCGGAGUCAGCCUGAGCAGGGCUCCGAAAUCCUCCUGCAGAUGCACAGCGUUAACCGGAAACAAUUCAGAGUGGCAGUGGUAUCCUGCAGGAUGUGUGCGUCGCCUUCAGCUGUGUGUUGAUUUACACAGGGCCACAUUAUAGAUUAUACAUUCUGGUAAUUGUGGUAUUGUUAUUGCUGGGCUAUAUCUAAGCACAGGAAACACAUAUAAGCACAUUUGAAGUGAUAACAUCCACUCCUGUUUAAAGGGCAAUAUUUUAUUCUCAUACGUAAUACGGCAUUUGCAAUAAUACAGACAAUUUCCUAACAAGUACAUAGGAGACUUUCAGGAGAAAAACCUGAUUCAUUGUGGGAGGCCCAUAACCAGCAUUUACAAAGAAAUCCACAUCAAUUUUUAUUCACUUUAAUUUUAUUUUUUUCAGUAUGGACAUUAUUCUGAGAUCAAGAAGGAGACAAUACAUUGCCAUCUGAAAGCACAAGAAAGAUCAAAAUAAGUUUUCAAUGUGUCACCGAAACCACAGUGCUAGGUUUCUGUUAAGGAGAAUGAGUAAUACCAUUCUAGCUGUGAAGAAUGCUGUGAGUGGGUAAUAAUUCCAUCUAACUGAUAGGGCAGAUUUUCUGCAAGAAAAUAAAUUAUCCCAACUAAAAUCUUGCCUUAUUUCUUCAGCUCACUAAGAAAGCCCACUCACCAUACCCAUUUAGCUGCUUGUCUAACAUUAGGAUAUCCUCCAUCCAACAUUCCCAACUUAAUCUUGCAAUUCAGGAACAGACUGGCUCCAACCCUGGCCUGGACCACAGCUAAAUCUAUAUCCAUGCUUGUAAUACUGUUGCAGAUCAAUAAUUCGAUGCUAUACUGUAUAAAUUGGUUUGUUGAAAUGAUAGUUACGAAUGAAGUUCUAAAAAGACACUGCAACAUAUAAUAAAGGACUGACCUACUGACAGUUCUAAUGGGGAUGUGAUUAACAUAUACAUAAAAUAGCCCAAAGCCCAAUGACUUGCUUCAUGAUUUCAUGAAAAACUUUUUAUUGUUUUCUAUCUAUAUUAUUUAACAUUAAGAAUACAUUUGUCUUUAUAAAUUUUUAAAUGCUACUGAUCUGAUAUUUUUGUGCUGGCAGUCUUAACACUGAACAAAAGUAUAGUUUUGUCAGACCUCAUAUGCACAAAAAUUUUAAAUAAUAAUGUUGCUGAUGCCUCAUAAUAUGCCUUUGCAUUAUGGCAGUCUCAUUAUAAUAUUCUUUUGGAAGUGUAACCUGCUUAGGUAAGCUUUGAUUUACAAGAUAAUAUUAAGACAUGUUUAAUUUUAAGUAUGAUCUUUACUAUUUUCCUGAAUAGGAAUAUCUGUCCUUAGUUUAAACUUCUAAUAUCCUGUUUAACAAGGAAACAGCUUCAAUCGUACUAAAAGUACUUAAAGUUAAGAAAGUUUUCACAUUUGGUUGCUGGGAUUAGGGCUUUAAAAACAAAGGUCAGGUGAAGAUGCCUUCUUGGAAUACGCUAGGAUAUAAGCCUCUAUUUUUGUUUGUAGUUCAUAAAUCUACAUAUUACAUAAACCAGUAAUAACUUUAAUAUAAUUAUAUUUGUAUUUGUGUGAGUGACUGGAGUUGAACAGCACACCUACAUGGCUACAGCAUAUGUGAAUCUUCCUGCAGUACAUUCUGGUGUUGACUUUCAUUAGACAGUAAGAAAUGUUGCCUGCAAAAAUAUCACAGCUUGAAAAGGAGACUAAUGUCUGUCUUUUUCACAUGGGAAAUGUAUUUCAUCAUCCCUCACGUGACAUCGAAAUCAGGUCUGUGGAAAUGAAAAUACCAGGCUCUGCACACCAUAGGAUUUGUAAUUAGCUUGAGGUAUCCCAGAGAAAAUUCUGUAAGUUACUUUAGUCUCUUUAUUUUGUCUUGUCUCAGAUCUGUCUGAUUUUGUUUGAGUUUAUGAGUAAUUUUUGGUGGAAAUGUCUAUGUUGCAAUUGAAAUGCUCUAACAAGUCCUCAUCACUAAAAUGCACUGAGUUCUGUUACUUCUGAGGAACCAUGUGGAGUCCUGGAGUCAUUGUGGCUGUUGGGGAACUCAGGAGCUUCCUGGUCUCACUUCAGCCAUAUGACAGAACCCCAAAAACACCUGGGAUGUCUUUAGGUCUUAAAUAUUUAAUUUAAAUGUCUAAAAGGUAAGAGUUUCUUAAGCAUCAUAAGACAUGAGAGUUAACAGAUCAGCCUGAGCCAUGCCUCUUGCAUUUACUUUUUCAAUAAAGUUGUCAGGAUGCUGCCCAGCCAGGCUGCCAGAUGUGCUCUCCAUGUUUGGGGUAAGUAAUCACUUGGUCCUGGGAUCUUCUGCACAAGCUAUGCCUGAACCCACUGCAGUUAUUUUAGGUGACACACUAAAGUGGUCAGCAUAAACCGAGAAGACUUUGUCCAGCACUUUGUCAGCAUGCCAGAAGAAAUUCCUUGGGAUUCAGAGUCUAAGAUUUCAUUUCAGUUAAUUGUCAGGAUGAUGAAUAUUAUUUAUUCCACACUAAGGCUUAUUUUAAUCCAAAACACAGAUAGAUAGCGUCAAUGCAGGCAAAAUUAUAGUUCUCCCUGCAUAGAAGCCCAUCUAGAUAUAAUCCAGUUUGCUCCCCUGUCUCUAAAUUUGAAGGACAACAGGAAUGGAGACUGCGCCUGGCCUGGGAUUCCCUUGCACUUGAACCUGAUCUAAUUAGGCAAGUCUAUUUUUUCACAACAUAAAACUAUUAUAGACAACAGUAUGGUGAACUGAAAACUCCUCAAAGUUGUUAAAUUCUGUCUAGUUUGGAAAAGGAGCUGUAUCAGGCCGAUGCUCAGUGAGGCAAUGGAGCCCAGUGGGCAGAGUGCUGGACAGGGAUUGAGAAAUCUGGGUUCUUUUCCAAAAUCUCCUGACUUUUAAAUGACCUUGAGCUGUCACUUCUCUGUGCUUUGGAUUCACUGCCUGUAUGAGGAGGAUAAUAAUGCUCAUAAUGGUUUCAGAGUUGCUGAAGGAAAGAUCUGCAUGAACACAACACUUCGUGCACUACCCUGAGCUAGAUGCAGCUGUGGUUAGAGGUGGCCAGGAUUUGGUCAAUGCCUCGUGUAUUCCAGAAAAUCUGGGAAACUUUGGUUGUUACACAGCUUGCUUUCAGUUAUCUGUCAAAACACAUUUUCAUGUUAAAGGUCUUUCAUAUCUUUCAGACCAUUACAAAAUAUCUCCAGAAAAUUUCAUAUUAUUUACUUACGCAUUAAUACAGUUCAUGCUUCUGUUACUGGGAACUGCAGAGUGCCUCUCAGGAUCAUACAAAUGAUAACUUAACAUAGAUAAUGUGGUUUUGACCUAAAAAAGAGAAGUGUUUUGCAAUGUUAUAUUUAGCAUAUCUGGGGAAAAAAAAAUUAUCAAUUACUUUAUGUUGUAAGGUAAUUGAAUUGGGUUUUUAGUUUGAAACAUUCUCUUUGAAACUAAAAAAAAUUGUGGUUUUUUUUUAAUUAUCAUUUUAAAUCAAUGUCUUGAUUUCACACGUUUUGUAUUAAUAUACAACUACAAGCUUUGUGCACAAAAAAAGAACAGUCUACUUUCAAAACUGCUGAAUGCUUUGACCUCAAGGGCAUAGAAACUGUUGACUCAUUGUUUUUACUGCAUAUAAUAUUAGUCCUUUGUCACAUCCAGGGAAUGACAUCAUCUUCUUCAUUGUUAGCAGCAGGUUUGAAUAACAGAAAAAGUGCAGCAUUAGUUGUCUGCUGUGUUUGUUCUUAAUAAAUGAAUGGAUAUCUGGUACCAAGGCUCAGAUUAGGAUUUUUGAGUAACAUUUAGAACAAGCUUGUGCCCAAACCCUGCAAAGAGCUUUGCUUCUGGCCACCAUCUGCAGGGCAGUCGAGCUGGCAGGAGCCCGGAGCCUGCAGAGGGAACGUAGCUGAUGGUUCUGGCUUCUUGAAAGUGGUAAGAGGAGUCAGGAAAGGAAGAGAUUAAGCACAGAAUGAAACAGAUCUGUUCUUCAAGGUCAUUUUAGUAAAAGGAGUCCCUGCACUUCUGUGAAUCAUACUUCUGUGAAAUCUAAAAUCAUGAAAAGUAAUUAUCGGAAAAUAAGUCAUCUCUAGGACGUGCAAGCAAAAUGGGAACUAAUUAUCUUGAAAAUGCACCAGAACAAGUAUUUAAUCUAUUCCAAAUUUGUAUUCAUGUUUAUUAGUCUUCUCCUCCCUAUAACUAAAAUGUCUAUGUCCUAAUCUCAAAGAGUAAUUCCCUAUCAGAAGUAUUUGGUUACUCCUGCCUGCUUCAUGGAAGAAGGAUACAUCAUUAUGAUUACUAACCAGGCUGAUGGAGGUCUUCUUUAAGGUGAUACACCACCUUCUAUAAGGUUCUUCAGAAUUUUUUCAUGGCAGAGAAAAUUUUAAGUGUUGCUUCCUGAACAGUAAACAUUUCUAGUGGAAAAGAAUUUACUCAGGGAGAGAGUCCUCGAGAGUCUGAUCAAAUGUCAAAUUCUAUCUAAUCCAUUACCAAUUGCCUUUAUGUUUUCCCAGAAAAAUGUGAUGUCUUUAACUAUAAAAUUAUACCUUUGUGGUUCCAAAAAUAUUUGUCCUGAAGAUAAGUUCCUGUGUUGAGAGAAUGAAUCAAACUGGACUUAGAAAAGCUAAAAUCCAUACAGCUGUGAGAGAAGCACUGAGGCAGCAGGCUGGGAAAGCUAGAGGUCAUGGGUUAAGGAUCCAGGAUUGCUGGAUCACAGAGGUCCACAUACCAAGAGUAGACGCAGACAAGGGCUACACACAAGGAAAUAUUUUCUAGAAUGCCAGAACUAAAAAAGAAUAAACAAACCAUGCUGUAAAAAAUCAAAAUCAGACCUUGUUGACUUGGAAGCAAGAGGUCUGAUGUACUGGCCUCUUCACAACAGACAUACCUAUACUUGUGCAGGUAGGGAGAGCUGCCUUGCGUGUAGGCUUGAGCAGAUGCACCUAUCUCAAUUCCUAUCCCAAAUUUAUAUUGCUAAUUUCAGAUUUAUCUGUUAUGAGAAGUAAGAAAUGUUACACUUUUUUCUACAUAUUUCAUAUGCUUUUGCCAUAUGAAGUCUUUCCUCAGUCUUCUGUUCCACUCUGUAGUUCACCUUCAAUCAACAUUUCAAAAAGUCUCAAGUAGCAUGAAUUUUGGUGAGGCCAAAUCACUUGAUUUUCCCUUACCCUGUUUAGAAGAGGCUUUACUUGGAUAAAAGCAAUAGUGCCAGCCAUUUCCCUUCAUCCUUUAAAAUUACUGGCCACCUCUAAAGAACUUGGCCUCUCUUUUAUGUCACUUUCUGACAACUCAUUUGAGUUGAACAGGUUGCUGUGGCCAAAUUAAAUGCUUGGGAAAUGGACCAUACAAUUAAUUUGCAAUAGUAAGUUGUCUCAGCAUCAUUUCUCUUCCUCUCAAGGGGAAUGCUGGCUCAAGCAAAAGAAAAGAUUAACGUAAUAAAAAUAUUCUAAAGACAUCCUGUUAAUUGUCCCAAGCUCAGAUGGUAUUGUCUAUUCUUCUGUUGUGCAUAGCCAGCAAACAGUGUAAAAUCCAGAAUUCCUUCCUACCAUGAAAGCAGAGCCUUCAGUGCUACAGGAUAAUCCCUGCCUUUCUGGAAAGCAGAUGAAAAUGUGGUGUGGCAGAGCUUUGCUUUGGGUUUCAGAGGUGAGCUCGAGUUUGCUCCAUUUAUGAAUAUAAUAGGACUUGUUAAUUUAGAUACAUCAGCAACUUUAACCAAGAGAAUAAAGAUUUAUGGAAAAAAGGAAAAUUGCAAACAAAGUACGAGCAAAUUUUGGGAAAAGAAGGAAAUUUUUUCCCUGAAUGUGCAAAAGAGAUUUCCCAUGUUUGUUUAGGGACAGAAAAGACUCAAGGUUUUAAAUUCAGCCAAAAUAAAGGCUUUCAUUUACAAUCACAUUUGCAGUGUUGACCUUGAAUAUCACAUUCAGUGACAGCAAAUCUCAUAGGAAAAAUUAAUAUAUCAAAUAAAACUCAGAAAUAUUCACAAGUGACUGAGUGAAGCAAAGCUGUCAGAAGAGUUAAAUAAAAGAAGACUCUGUAAUUCCCUCCUUGCUCUAAAAUGUCGUUUCCUCAGAAAGGACAAAGUCUGAUUUUUGCUUAUAUGAAAAUAGUCAUAAAAUAUGUAAGAAAACACAGAAUGUUGUUUGCUUCAGUUCCUGUAAACUAAUCAGGCUGAAUGAUGAGUCUUCCUGUAACUCGGAGCACUUUUGAAUACUAUGCAUGAAACUGUGUUCCUCCCCUCAUAAACAGCUCGAGCCUUGCCUAUGUAUCAGUGUAGAAAAAUAAGUAUUGACUUAUUCACAAAUUACUUUCUAGGCACUGGAUUCCCAGAAAUAUAUUUGUAUAACAGCAUCUAGAAGCAAAUGAAUGUGUUAAUAACCAGGUUUUCUUUCAUUUUAUGGCCCUAAAGACACUUUGAUCUUCUAAAAUUAUGUUUGUCUUUUUGAAAAGCUAACUUUUAUCUCAGCUCUGGUGCUCAUUUCCUUAUCUCUUCUUCUGAAAUAAAUUUUUUACAGGAAUUCAGUAUGCCCCAUUUCAUUUUAUUUCAGACAGCCAAGUGAGAUAUUUCUAAAUAUUUUAUCAAACAGAUAGGUUCCCUACAGGAUGCUAACUUGUUCUCCUAUUUUUAUUUUUUUAUGUAUCUUUCCAAAAUGAAAUAUUUUGGAUAUGGUACAGUUUGUUCACAUGUCAGAUAUGGAUUUUUUAAUUCUGUCUUUCUGCAGAACAGUAAGAAGAGAAAAUAAAUCAGAUGUUUUAUCUGAUUGUACUUUGAUCAGGUUUUUCUAUAUUCUCAAAAAGAACAGCAUGGAGCUUCACUUGCUGCACAAAAAAGCAUUUUUAGUUUUGAAAAUAUUUUAAAACAUCUCAGGAAAACCAGACCCAACACUUAGGUUAGAGUUCUACUCAUCUUAAAAAAAGACUCCAUUGCUUUACAUGGUCAUAUUUGAACAUUUAGGAUCUCCUGGUAUUUAUCAUCCACUACAUGAAUUGGGAAAAACUUCUUAGUAGGAGCCAAAAUGUGGGCAGAAUUUCACCUGCCAUAAUAUUUGCUAUCACUCUCCAUGACUGACUUGACUGGAUAAUGAAAAAUGCCUGUAAUUGUGCUUCUGAUACAUCUUGAUAUGUGGCAACCUAGGAAAUACUGACACUGUGUGUGACACAGGUGGGAGAGGUGUGUGUGUCUUCACAUCAGGGAAUUUUGCUGUCUUUGAAGUAAAAAUGAAAAUUUAAAAAUGUUAGUGAUUAAGUUCAUGGUGGCCAUGGAAGUCUGAAGGUUGUGGGAGGGCCUGUGGUUUUUAACAGACAAGGUAGAAAAGGUUCUGGGCAAACAGCAAAGUAAUCUGCCUUCCUUGUGUGAUACACUUGCUGUAGGCAGAGGAUGUUGCAGAUGUGUUCUGGACAUUAAGUAAUCCAAGAAAACAGUAGGACUGAAAAUCCAAAAGUUUCCAACUCCUUUAUUACCUUCUCAAAUUAUACUGCAAAGAUCCAGAGCCUAGACCUCUGGGAAACCUCUGAGGAAAAGUCUGAGGAAGACAUUCUUCAAAAUAAUUUACCAUUUAGUUUCCUCAGUAUAGCAGAGGAAUGUCCUUCCAUUUAUAAAAGGUACCCAAUUCCAUAUAAACCUUUCUGAAACAUUUGGGAGACUUCUCAGUACUCCGAGGGAGAUGCUGUUCUCAAUAUUUACGAUGUGUACCCAAACUGAUUUCUCUCUUUUAGUGUCUCCAGUGCAAAAUCAUUACAUUGUCAGAAAUAAACCAAGUCUAAUUUGUGGGGGGGGGAAAGAAACUGGAUUCCAUCAUGUGUUUCAUAUUAUACCAUUAUGAAAAUGGUAUAUUAAAUUCAAAUACUUCAAUUGUACCAUUAGAUGUUGUCAUUAUGUGGCUUGCUAAUUGAUAGGUUAUUCAAAUGAACAUUAUAAUUUUAGACUUCUUAGAAGCAUCCAUAUGAGGAAUUUCCAAACUUCAGAAAAGUAAACUGGGUGUUAGGAAGGAAAAACAUGUACUGAGAAUAUUUCCUAAUGCAUGUCACUGAAAAAUCAUUACAUAACUGCCGUGUGCAUUCCAGGACUUGGUGCAGGCUAUUUUUAAUACCCGGUAUGAAAGAACUUCCUGCUACUUUUUCUCUUUGAAAGCUGCUUUGUGGUUCAUUAGAUCGUGUGGUCAGGCCAAUUUUUCUGCUAUCCUUAAACCUCAUUUUUAUCUCCUUAAAAAAAAAAAAAAGGUGAAACUGUAUAAGAUGGAAGAAGGUGCUGAGCAUAAAAUACCUUUAAGAGUAAGGUAUGUUGUGUAAGUGUUGCAGUGGUCCCAGAACUAAGCACUGCCAGCUCAGGCUUAAUAUUAAACCCCAAAAGAAAUCUAAAUAUGUUAAACACCACAUACACAUUUAAGAAAAGCAAAAGAACUUGUAUGCCAAGCAACAGCACCUAGAAAGAAUUUUGAACUUUCUGUUUAUGAUAUUUUUAAAAUUAAUUUCAUACUGUUCUCCAGUGUUAUCACAGGUAACCAUUUUGACCAUGAUUUGUAUAACAUGAAGCAUUUUGCUUAAAUGCAACCAAACUUCUUCAAACAUGGGCUAUGCAAGACAUUUCAGAAUAUUUUAACUGCACAGAAAGUUUACACCACUAGCGUAGCUUUGCUGUUAAAAUCCUGGACAAACAGACUGAUAGAGAUGAAAUGGCUGGGGGGGCCACCAUUUUCACCUCCUCUGACCUCCUGCAAAACAAAGGCCACGGGACUUCCUGAAUUAAUUUCUUUUCGAACUAGGACGUAUCUUUUGGGUAAACAGACAGUCAAGUGACAGACAACACACUAAAUCUGCUAAAAGUAUUUAGAAGUAUUAAUUUUAUAGACAAAACGUUUGUACUUGCAAAUCAACAGACAUUUCAUUGGAUAUUAGAAAGUUUCUGUGACUCUCUUAAUUCCAUCCACAGCAGAGAAAUGGGAUGACAAUUUUCAAUGCCAAAUAGCACUGGGUGGUAAUUGCUGUAACUCUGGCUGUGAACCUGCUCUGGAAGGCUCUGGCGGGGAGGCAGCAGAGCGUGUCAGUCAGAUGACUGACACAGGUAAUGCCCUCAGCUGCCCUGCCGGCCGCUCCAACAGCCAUCGCUGCUGCCAUGGAACGGAGGUUUCAACAUCUGGAGCAGUUCCUGAGCUGCCUCAGCGUUCAGUUUGGUGUACGAAGGCAAACGGCCAACUCUGAGACACGUGGAGCACUUCUGGGGGCUGUUAGGUUGUGCUCUCCCUGGGGCUUGUGAUGGUAAACUGCACUAACGAGGGUGUGGGAACAAGGGUAGCUGCUCUGCUCCGUGGGUUUAAUCCAUCAGCGCAUGCAGAGCAGAGUCAGGGCAUUUAAGAACCCCGAAGCUAACUAAAUAUUUGGACUUCCCUUUCUGUUGCUUUGAUUCUCCCACCGGAAGCAAUUCCUUUCCCCCCUUCCCUCUGCUGUCUCCGUAAAGUUUCAUCUUCACAGAAUACUUUUGGAUCAUUUAUUUCUGCACUUCUGUAGAUCUUUCAAGUUUUUGUUGCCAAAGAAACUGGUCCAGCACUCAGUCCCAGUGCUCCCAGUCUCAGUCGAGCACACUCCUCCCUGUCCCUCUUCACAUCAGAGCACUCUGGAUUUGUUUUCCUUUAACUUUUAUUUUCAGAGGAAAUAUCUUCACCCAAAAAUGUGAAAUCUGACUAUAUUCUGCUUAUUUCAACAUAGUUUUUAGUACGAAAUUCAUUACAGGUCACUUAAAAGUCUUCCACAUUUAGGCCAAAGUCAUGGAACUGCUCUGUUUAACCUUGUCCAGUGUUUCAUAAUAACACCUUGUUUUCAGUUGCUUGUCACUGUUUGGGCUGGUAUUCUCCAAGCCAAGCAUCUGCCUCAGGUUUAAUUUUUGGCAGUUGCUAGCUAAACCACUGUAGUAAUUCUCAAGAACAAGGUUAAAAAAAUAUUUUGCCCAUAUUAAAAAAUAAUCAUCUGGUUGCUUCAUUCAGAAGUGUCGGUAUCCCCAUUACAGUAGGAAUUUGAAAUGGAACACCAUCACUGGUCUAGUUUCACCCAUGUACCUUUUAAGCAGCAACUUGGAAUUUGGCAGCACCAUCGCUGUGGUUUCACAGAUGUGCAUCCAAAUGCAAAAAAGUUAUAAGACUCCAUAAGUUAUAAGACUCCAUAAAAUUUCAGUUUGUGCAUGAUCAGUUAAGAAUUGUUCACAUUUGGCAGCUAAAUUUUCCAAAGACCAUCCCGUGCUGAUGGAUCCUGCUGUGUGUUCCUUGGCUGCAUGGCCUGCAGGCACCAUGAGCUGCUUUUUCGGGGAGCAGCCAGGUAUGGCCUGUGCCUGAGGCAGUGGGGACCACACAGGAUUCCUCUGCAGCUUCCCCUCCUCCUUCCCCAAGAGAUCACUGCCUCUGAGACCUGGGUGUCCCUUCUGUGUGCUUUUCUCCUGCUGCUGCUGAGGCAGAGAGAAAAGAAGGAUGGGUCACAAAGAUGGAAGAGUCUGGGAGGAGGCCUGGCACCAGCAGAGGAUGGGAGUGAACACAAAGCAAAGAAGAAGGAGAUGAAGGCAGUAGAUUCCAGGGAGAGAACUAUUACUGACUAAUGCUAGGAAUUCUCCUAAGGCAUCAUGGACAGAAAUCAGUUGUGGAAGCAGUUCUGCAUGGCUGGGGGAAAAAAAGAAGAUUGUACAUAUCUACACAAAGAGAUUCUGCUAGGAAAUGAGAAAGAGUAUGGUAUAUUGGGUAAGGAGGUUAAUAAGCAUAACAGAGAUAGAAAUAAGACACCAGAGGAAAUAAUUAAGAAAAAAUAAGAGGGUGCAGAUGAAGGAAAAGAAAAUAACAUGCAGAUGAAGGAAAGGAAACUAGGAGAUGAAAAUAGAGUAUGAAGUGUGUAAGAAAGCAGGAGCCAGGGAAUGGAGAGAUGUAUAAACAAAGUGUGGAAGAGAAAGAGCUGGGAGUUACCUGAAAACAGCACAAAGGAGGAGGAGAAGGCAGGAGCCAGGCAGAAGGAAAGUUACUUGAGAGCAUCAAGGGAGAGAAAGAGUGUGAGUGCAGACUGAACUCUGAGAAGAGGCUGAUUUUUUAAGUCAGACAUCAGUGCUAAUUGUGAUUUAUCUCUAAUGGUAUAGGAAUAAGAAUCAGGUAUGAUUAGCAUCAAUGGCCACACGUUCUUUUUUCUUGUUAGAGAUCUUCUUUAUCAAAUAUUCUGGAUCUCUUGAGUCAGAGCCCCAGAGUUAAGGUGACCGAAUGUCAUUAUCUGUUUAUUUUUCAGACUUCCUCUCUCUGAUUUUAUUAACAAACAUUCAAGUGCCUAAAGUACAACAUGCUGCUCUUUUAACCACAGUAAAAAGUAUCUCUGCAAAAUACAUUUGAAAUUAAUUUUGAAAUUAUAGGUAGGGCUGCCAGCAAUGUCUCUCAGUGGCAGAGCAAAGCAAAGCCCCACGUUCGGCUCAGUGGCCUUUUCGCUGUGGGUGUUUGUCAUCCAAGAGGGCUUGUACCGUCCCCACAGUAAUUAGGCUUGCUUCAUCACAAGGGUGAGCAGCACUGCCUUGGCAAUUUUAUCUCCCACCAGCUAGGAACACCACCUGGAGAGUGGGUUUGCUGGGUGGCUUCUGCUGCCCACGGGCAGAGCAGAGGUGGAGGUCACUGAGCAGGAGCCAGGGAGGGGGUCCUGCCCCCUGGUACUGCUGGAGCUGCAGAGACACCAGUUACACUCCUCCAGUGGCAAAGCAGGGGGAAACACUGAAAAUUGCCCCUAGCAUGGUGAUUCAGCUUGCAAGCAUCUGCCAUUUAUAAGAAAAUCCAAUUUUUUAAAUAUAAAUGACAAAUGCUUCCCCACAACCAGCAUGUUUGGUCUGUCACAUUCUCUGUUAGCUGAAGGCAAGCUUUGCAGAGCUGAGCUGCUUUACUUUCCUUUUGAGAAUGAAAGUAGCACUGCUGCCAGAAGAUUGAGUUGUUGGUGUGUAUCAGGUGAUAGGAAAAAUUACUCUGAAACUGCACAUGGUCUGACAUAGUUUCAUAUGUAUAUAUAUUUGGGAGCUGCAAGUGUUGAUUUGCUGUCUAUGUAUCUGUUUGUCAUACUGAUAGCUUAAAACCACAAAUUACAUUCCUAAUAACAACUCUUAGGGGUAAGGCUGCUGUUACUACUUGGUACCUCCUAAAGAUUAAACAGAGCUAAGAGUUUAUACAUUGACCCAUUGCUUCUUCAGGCAGGUCUGUCUUCAAAUUCUGACCUACGUCCCAGCUAAAAAUGUGUUCAAUCUUUUCUUAAUUUGUAAUAGAUACUUGUGUACAUUACAAAACCAUCUUGCAAUUUGGCAAAUUAAGUUGUCUGUGGUUAGCUCUGGAAUUAUAGAGAUAUUGCAGUGCACUCAGAAUUGCAUAAUGAGGUUCCCCAGACUUUCCUUACUCGAGUGAGUAACAGUAAUCCUUAUCUCUAGCAUCAGAUUCAUCCCAUUUUUGAGAAAAGAAUUAGUAUCAAAUAUAUGAUGGGCAUGUUAUGCCUUGUGGCUGCAAUGUUGUUUCAAUUAACUUCUCUGAAUAUACCACAAUGAAAAGUGUCAGCUUUUUGCCUCAGAGGCCUAUAAUUAGAUUAAAUGAAUACUGUUAAUUAUCUACUACCUUCUUUACACAAAACAGUAUGUUUCCAUAAAUUAAAAUGCUCGUACAGGAAGGAAAUUGUUGCUCACUCCAAUGCAUGCAUACAGUGCUGGAUUGUGAAUACUGUGACUGUAUCACAGUGUAGCACAGCUCUUUGUCUGCAGCCCUUAUUUUACAGGAGCUAAAACAAAUUACAACUGAAAAAUCCACAGAUAUCACUCUAUUUAAAGUGUAUGUGUUGGUGCAAGAAAGUGAUAUUACUAAAUGCUGCAGUGCUUAUGAAACAAAUAUACUUUUCUCUUUAACAGAUGUUGUCUAUAAAAUUCCCUUAGAGAGAUUAAAUACAGCUUUGUUUGUAUACCUACA